UAAACUUAGUGGCGAACGGGUGAGUAACGCGUGAGUAACCUGCCCUGGAGUGGGGGGACGAACAGUUGGAAACGACUGCUAAUACCGCAUAAGCCCACGGCCCGGCAUCGGGCUGCGGGAAAAGGAUUUAUUCGCUUCAGGAUGGACUCGCGUCCAAUUAGCUGGUUGGUGAGGUAACGGCCCACCAAGGCGACGAUUGGUAGCCGGACUGAGAGGUUGAACGGCCACAUUGGGACUGAGACACGGUCCAA
rnacentral:rRNA from 1 species